UACGUAGGCAGCGAGCGUUGUUCGGAGUUACUGGGCGUAAAGGGUGCGUAGGCGGUUGUUUAAGUUUGGUGUGAAAUCUCCCGGCUCAACUGGGAGGGUGCGCCGAAUACUGAAUGACUAGAGUGCGGGAGAGGAUAGUGGAAUUCCUGGUGUAGCGGUGAAAUGCGUAGAUAUCGGGAGGAACACCAGUGGCGAAGGCGAUCAUCUGGGACUAACCUGACGCUGAGACGCGAAAGCGUGGGGAGCAAACAGG
rnacentral:rRNA from 1 species